UGCUCUGGCUGAAAGUCAUUAGGGGUGGGCAGCGGGUAAUUUGAACAGGGUGAUGAGGUAAGUGGGCCAUUCCCUGUGCUUGGGAAGGA